rnacentral:tRNA from 1 species
UAAGGUGUUAAUCUUCUUCUUGA